rnacentral:rRNA from 1 species
GAUGAACGUUGGCGGCGUGCUUAACACAUGCAAGUCGAACGAUGAAGCCCAGCUUGCUGGGUGGAUUAGUGGCGAACGGGUGAGUAACACGUGAGUAACCUGCCCUUAACUCUGGGAUAAGCCUGGGAAACUGGGUCUAAUACCGGAUAGGAGCGCCUACCGCAUGGUGGGUGUUGGAAAGAUUUAUCGGUUUUGGAUGGACUCGCGGCCUAUCAGCUUGUUGGUGAGGUAAUGGCUCACCAAGGCGACGACGGGUAGCCGGCCUGAGAGGGUGACCGGCCACACUGGGACUGAGACACGGCCCAGACUCCUACGGGAGGCAGCAGUGGGGAAUAUUGCACAAUGGGCGAAAGCCUGAUGCAGCGACGCCGCGUGAGGGAUGACGGCCUUCGGGUUGUAAACCUCUUUCAGUAGGGAAGAAGCGAAAGUGACGGUACCUGCAGAAGAAGCACCGGCUAACUACGUG